GCUGCAGCUGCGAGGGAGGGAUCCAGGCAGCUGCCUGUGGCUGCGAAGGAGUGGCUGUGAGGGAGGAUCAAGGCAGCUGUGGCUGCGAAGGCCUACUCUUGCACGAAUUUCGUGCAUUGGGCCUCUAGUAAAAUACAUAAUACAAUAUUCAGCUAAAUUAAACUAGCUGUGAGAAUAAUGGCUCCAUAAAUGCCAAUGGUAACAUAUUCCUAUGCACUGCUGUUUGCUUUCAUGAGUCCAGUCUAUAAAAUGUCUAAUACUUAAUGAGCUAUUUCAUUGAGUUCUGAUGCAUUAGUGCUAGAAUUGACAAGUGAUCUUUUCCAGUCUCACCUUUUAAUUUCUAAACACCCCUAAAUAAGAAAAAUUCUCAGUUAAAAAAACCAUUUGCAGAAUUCCAGUAAUAAUUUGAUAAUUUUUGAAACUAAAAUAGGCGAUUCUUUAAGAAAGCUCUGAAGUGAUUGUGAUAAGAAUCCUGUGAACUUGAAGUGACCCUGUGAGGUGGGCCAGGUGUAAGGCAAUAUGGAGGAGAGGUGACUGUGACACUCGGGAAGACACGGCCUUUAAAGCGGCAGCCACUGCUCCGUUCCAGGCAGUUGUUGUGUGGGAAGAUGGGCCAGAGUAGCCAGAUCUUCAACUUUCCAAAAGAAGCCAAAAGUUUAGUUCUUUUAAUGUAAGGUGUUACAAUUUUUAAAUGUUGACACUCAAUUUAAAACAAACAAACAAGAAACCACGUGGUCCAAACAGACUACCAGUUUGUGACCAUCUAUUUAGAUGAUCAAAUUCUCCCUUAUCCACAGGGGGUUUCCUGCCCAACAGGAGGGUCACGGCAGCCCCGGACAUAAGCAGGCACCAGGGAUCCAGAGCACUUGUGACACCCUUUCCUUCCCAUCAAAGGACACAGAAAAUCACUGACACAGCCUCACCUUCCUGCCCCGCCUUUUCAAACUACACCCUCGGGCCCUGCUUUUCACUAUGCCAGGAGGUCAUAUAUCCUUUAUAGCAGAUGAAUGUGAAUGAUCUGAAGGGAAUAGAGCAAGAACAUGUAGCUAUUUUAACAGAAGCCACCAACACUAUUAGAUGAUUAACCAGAGCAACUAACCUACCAACAGAGUUCAGAAUACUGCUGAUGGCUGUGACUUUGAAAGAGAAAGGAGAUCACAGAAAUAAGUAGCUGUCUACAAAAACAUAAUUCAAAUGCAGAAUUUUAUUUUUGACUGAAAUUUUAAGUGUGGGCUCUUGGCAAGAGAUGGAACCCUAUAAACUACUUGUGGGCAAAAAUGUAUGCUGAACUGAGAAAAUAGGUUUAAACUUAAAUAAACAAAAGAAUAAAAAAAGAAUAGGCAUUAAAAAAACAACCUGUAAACCAAA